GACGAACGCUGGCGGCGUGCUUAACACAUGCAAGUCGAACGGAAAGGCCCUGCUUUUGUGGGGUGCUCGAGUGGCGAACGGGUGAGUAUAACGUGAGUAACCUGCCCUUGACUUUGGGAUAACUUCUGGAAACUGGGGCUAAUACCGGAUAGGAGCUCUUGCUGCAUGGUGGGGGUUGGAAAGUUUCGGCGGUUGGGGAUGGUCUCGCGGCUUAUCAGCUUGUUGGUGGGGUAGUGGCUUACCAAGGUUUUGACGGGUAGCCGGCCUGAGAGGGUGACCGGCCACAUUGGGACUGAGAUACGGACCAGACUCCUACGGGAGGCAGCAGUGGAGAAUAUGACACAGUGGGCGGAAGCCAGAUGCAGCAACGCCGCGUGCGGGAUGACGGCCUUCGGGUUGUAAACCGCUUUCGCCUGUGACGAAGCGUGAGUGACGGUAAUGGGUAAAGAAGCACCGGCUAACUACGUG
rnacentral:rRNA from 1 species